ensembl:lncRNA
AGGUGGCACCCAGAGCCUUGUGUAUGUUAAGAGGAUGUUUCAGUACUGAGUCUUACACUUGCUUACCUGAGCAGCUUUUACAAAGUUGGUUCCACCCAUCAGUCAAGUAGGACAAGAGGAAGGCACAUUUCUGGAGACCUGGGACAUAAGAAGAGAGAGAAUGGAAAAGGAAAAUAGACACGCAGCAUUCGAAUUCAAAAAGUGUGGAAAGCUUUGGAGCAUCAGUUUCUGUCUGUCAGAUUUAAAACAGUGCUGCUGUCUGAAACAUCUAAGAGAUUUUACAGUUCCUCUAUGAAUUUGAUGAUUUCUUGCUAGAUGUCUCAAUAGUACAUGUAAAGAUAAUCAGUCUAUCCAAUAUUUUGCCUUCUAUUUGAAUUACUGGAAGUAACAAGAAAGCCUGUUUAAACAAAAGUGAUCAGAAACAUCCAAAGAUUCCAUAGGAUAUCCCUGCUCAGUAAUAAUGGCAAAAAUUCUUCAUACAAAAGUCUCCUGAACUAAGAAAACCUUACAUUAUGGAUAUUCAGAAUUAUGGAAAAGAUAAAGGAAG